rnacentral:rRNA from 1 species
GACAGAGGAGCCAAGCGUUGUCCGGAUUGACUGGGCGUAAAGCGCACGCAGGCGGCCGUGCACGUGGGGUGUGAAAGCGCUCGGCUUAACUGAGCGAUGCCACCUCAUACGGCAGGGCUCGAGCCCGUGAGAGGUCCACGGAAUUGCCGGUGCAGUGGUGAAAUGCGUAGAGAUCGGCAGGAACACCCAGGGGGAAACCAGUGGACUGGCACGGUGCUGACGCUCAGGUGCGAAAGCGUGGGGAGCGAACCGG